UUUGGUUAAGUUAGAAAGGGCGCACGGUGGAUGCCUUGACACUAGGAGUCGAUGAAGGACGGGACUAACGCCGAUAUGCUUCGGGGAGCUGUAAGUAAGCUUUGAUCCGAAGAUUUCCGAAUGGGGAAACCCACUAUACGUAAUGGUAUGGUAUCCUUACCUGAAUACAUAGGGUAUGGAAGACAGACCCAGGGAACUGAAACAUCUAAGUACCUGGAGGAAGAGAAAGCAAAUGCGAUUUCCUGAGUAGCGGCGAGCGAAACGGAACAUAGCCCAAACCAAGAGGCUUGCCUCUUGGGGUUGUAGGACAUUCUAUACGGAGUUACAAAGGAACGAGGUAGACGAAGCGACCUGGAAAGGUCCGUCGUAGAGGGUAAUAACCCCGUAGUCGAAACUUCGUUCUCUCUUGAAUGUAUCCUGAGUACGGCGGAACACGUGAAAUUCCGUCGGAAUCUGGGAGGACCAUCUCCCAAGGCUAAAUACUCCCUAGUGAUCGAUAGUGAACCAGUACCGUGAGGGAAAGGUGAAAAGCACCCCGGAAGGGGAGUGAAAGAGAUCCUGAAACCGUGUGCCUACAAAUAGUCAGAGCCCGUUAA
rnacentral:rRNA from 1 species